GGCUGCAAAAGAAGUGGGUAGUUUAACCUUCGGGAGGACGCUCACCACUUUGUGGUUCAUGACUGGGGUGAAGUCGUAACAAGGUAGCGCUAGGGGAACCUGGCGCUGGAUCACCUCCUUAUACGA
rnacentral:rRNA from 1 species